rnacentral:rRNA from 1 species
GAUGAACGCUGGCGGCGUGCCUAAUACAUGCAAGUCGAGCGAACAGACGAGGAGCUUGCUCCUCUGACGUUAGCGGCGGACGGGUGAGUAACACGUGGAUAACCUACCUAUAAGACUGGGAUAACUUCGUGAAACCGGAGCUAAUACCGGAUAAUAUAUUGAACCGCAUGGUUCAAUAGUGAAAGACGGUUUUGCUGUCACUUAUAGAUGGAUCCGCGCCGCAUUAGCUAGUUGGUAAGGUAACGGCUUACCAAGGCGACGAUGCGUAGCCGACCUGAGAGGGUGAUCGGCCACACUGGAACUGAGACACGGUCCAGACUCCUACGGGAGGCAGCAGUAGGGAAUCUUCCGCAAUGGGCGAAAGCCUGACGGAGCAACGCCGCGUGAGUGAUGAAGGUCUUCGGAUCGUAAAACUCUGUUAUUAGGGAAGAACAAAUGUGUAAGUAACUAUGCACGUCUUGACGGUACCUAAUCAGAAAGCCACGGCUAACUACGUG